UCCCUGGUGGCUCAGAUGGUAAAGCGUCUGCCUGCAAUGCGGGAGACCAGGGUUCAAUCCCUGGGUUGGGAA
rfam:TPA: Bos taurus chromosome 22, whole genome shotgun sequence.